UGAACAUGUGCGGCACUUUACGGCAUAUUGUCACAUUAUCGACAGCGUACGUCACACGCUGUUACAUGUGGAUUGUGUGAAUUGUAGCGUAACAUUUUAAUUUCGUAAACUGUGUCGUUUUGCUUGUAGUUAACUCAGUAUUUUAAAAAGACUGUCGAAUCUCAGAGGCCGCAGUUUAUUCUUAUGGAACGACAAAAGCCCGCAUUUUUCAGAAAAACAGCUGCAGAUAUCUGAACUGGUUAGCCAGAUCGCUACUUUAGCAAAGGACGGGAAAGUAAAGGCUACAUGAUAUGGAGAACUACAGAAAAGCACGUACAGUCGAGCAGCCCUCCCUGUGUCCAUUCCCCGAGCUGCCCAGCGACACUCCAGAAGUUCGAGUGAAGGAUGGCAGCAAAAUCCGAAACCUCAUGAGGUUUGCUUUAAGCCGUAUGGAGGAGAAAACAGCCUCCGCAGAUCAUCCAGGCCCUCAUGAAGGCCCAGAGCUUAGUGCACAGCAACUGAAACCAACUUCACACAAGGUGGAGCUGCACAUGCAAAAUACGCAGUCAUGUUGGCUGUUCUUUUGACCAUUUUGAUGUUUAGUCAAGGGCUUUCAAUGGACAAUCGUGGGACAAGUUUCAUCACUGCAUUCCCCGAGAAUAUUGCUUUUUAUUAUCGGAAGACCUUUAACCUAUUCAAAAUCACUACCCUUCACCCAGACACUACGAUCAAUGUCACCUAUAUGGCCAACGGCAACGCCACCACAAAUGCAAGCCUUGCAAAUGGAACCGUUUGGACUUUGAAUUUGACGAAGGAGGUUGAAGAAUCCCAGUUUGUGUCUUCCAAUAAGACGUUUCGAAUCACCAGUGAUAAAAACAUCACAGUGGUUUCUGUGAGUGGAUGGAAGGGGGGAUUCCAGUCUCACGUUGUCCAGCCUGAACAAAAUCUGGGAAAGGUGUAUCAUGUUCCCUCUUUGAAUUACACCAAGAUAGCCGUGUCCUUUAACCUUAUGAUGACAUCAAAUGUCAGACUCCUCCCUUUUAGGCUGAUGAUUAUCAAUGCAGUGGGCAUGGACAACAACAUCAUCAUCAAACAGGUAGAUGAAAGAGGUCAGAGCCAAGAAGAUACAAUAAUGCUCGAUCCUUACCAUCUUUACCAGAUUCAGAUUAAUGGGACGGUGAGAGAAAUCAAUGCAGAGGACAAAGUGGCUGUGAUUCUGACCCAUCCGUGUUUUGACAGCAAAAACUGCUCAUGCAACAUGAUUCUGAACCAGCUCCAACCAUUUGUGUUAAAUGACGAGACAGACAUAUUCCCCAUGCCCCCCUUCUUCAGGGCCAAACAGCUACUUGUGACAACAAAUCAACCCUUCAGGGUCUGUCAGGGUUAUUUUACUACUUGUACUAAUGUCUGGGUGCAAAAUUCUUCAGACAUCCUGCCAUUAUUACCAAAUUUUAUGGAUAGGGCCUCACUUAUUUCUACUUCCAUGCAUGUUUCCCUUCGAUUAGUUAGUCCUGGGCUCAUUCUAGACCUCAUUCCGAUAAGCAUGUUCUCUGGGUGCUAUCUGGUAGAUUUUAAUUCCUCAAGCAGUAGGGCCUUGGUGAUUGCUAAUACACCCAGCGUUGAUGGUGUGCGAAUGAACGAUCAGCCUUUGCCUUCAUACAUCAACUGGACCGUUAUGGAUGACACAGAGUACUCUUGGGCUCUAGUGGUCGCAGAAAGGUUAAGCACAAUCUGGCAUCCUUCUGCAAGGAUUGGUGUAUAUAUGUUCGAACGCUUGGAGUCUAACAAUACCUAUGGGAGCGCAGCAACAGUUAUAAAUAUGGAUCCAGAUCGUUAUGGCUGUCUGGUGACUCCGGAGAUGUUUGUACUUGGUGAAGAUGAAAUGAGCUGGUCCAUGUCCCAUGAGUACUGCACGGAAAAUGCUGAUCUGUUUGCUAGGCUCAACAAUAGAAGCAGCCAGGAUAAGAUGGCCUCAAACAUGGCAGUCAUAGACCCCACGGAGGGCUGGAUCAGUCUGCGCCGCAGCCUGUACUCAGCAGAGUGGUAUUGGAAAAACGAGGACAAUUUCUCAUCCAAUGUGGACUUCACUUACUGGGAGAACAGACAGCCUGAAAAGCCGGAGAAAGGCUUGUGUGCCUCAGUUUCCCUGGAUCCCAACAAGAACUUCCAGUGGAAGAGUGCUCGCUGCUGUUCUAAAAAGAAACCUAUUUGCUAUAUCGGACCAAAAUACCUCACCUUUUGAGAUACUUUGUAAUAAGCAGAUGUCUUAAUUACAAUACUUGUAAAGGGAUCUCCAAAAUUUCAAUGUUUAAUUUUUUGCUUUCAGAACUGUGUUUAGGGAUCAAUAUAGAUUGGUUUUAUUUUCAUAAUUAACAUUUAUCUGGCUAUACAUAGUUAGGCCCCUAUAUUAGACUAGAUUUAGAAAAUGUUAUCUGGUGGGCAAUGAAAUUGAUCUAGCAAUGUAAUUAGCAGUGAAAGAAAAAAUUGUAUUGCAAACUUUUUAGGUUAAAUAAGACUAUUAAAAAUUAGUAAGUGGAGAUGCAUUUUGAGGUGUAUCCAGG
ensembl:lncRNA